rnacentral:lncRNA from 13 species
GUUAACGACACAAGCAUGGAUAUACAUGGUUCAUUGUUGCAAAGGUUCCUUGUUUGACAAAGUGUUCAUUGAAUUGUAUGAAAACAUUAUAAUAAAUGAUCUUGCUUACCUAGUUGUUGAUGUCACUGAAGUCAAAAGGGUAGGAAGUGGUGGUUUGAGUGGUCGUGAAUUGAGGAGACAAUUGCUUCUUGACGGCACCAAGGACAUCAUCCUCAGUGGGGACUGGUGUUUUGACCUUGAAUAUCAGUUUAACAAAAACUCCCACUGUGCCGAAUCUAAGAGAAAAUAAUAAUACAUGGAAAAUUACAUUUCCUAAAGAAAAUGUGUGUACUUGCUAGCUUGUCUUAAAGUAAUCAUGGUUGUAAAAUAAGUUACAGGAUUGGUAAUCACUGCAGUAGUAAUGGUAGUGACUGGUUAUAAUUGGAAAAAGAAAGUCGAUGGAAAGAUUGAUUGAUGGAUAGGAUAGGAUAGGAAAGGAUAGCCUGAACAUAUGAAAGUUGGUUCGGUCUCUCUAGCUUGAACGGUUCAAGAGUUAAUAUUAUUUUUGGUGGGUUAUUAUAUGCUAAUUUAUACUCAUUUAAAUUGUUUUAGUUUAGAAUGUUUAGAAAAUGUUAAAAUAAUUAGAAAAAGUAUGUAAGAAAUCUAGUGGUCUUGCCCUUAGCAAGCACAUUAAUUAUAAUGGAUUGGAUUUAUAUUAAGCCUUUUGACCGAUUGAUGCACUCAAAGAGCUUUUCUAAAGAAAGGUUGACAUUUUGGAUGCUUUUAAUUAAAACAUCAGUAGUUAACGACACAAGCAUGGAUAUACAUGGUUCAUUGUUGCAAAGGUUCCUUGUUUGACAAAGUGUUCAUUGAAUUGUAUGAAAACAUUACAAUAAAUGAUCUUGCUUACCUAGUUGUUGAUGUCACUGAAGUCAAAAGGGUAGGAAGUGGUGUGGUGUUGGUAAUUGUUGUUGUUGUUGGGGCAACAGUGGGGGUCAGGAGACCUAGAAUAGAAAUGGAAAUACAUUUUAGAGGGAUUAUAAACUUGUAAUAUGUCAUAUAACAUUGAUAUAUAAGUGUUUUCGAGAUUGAGUAUUAUACACGUUACAUGGUGUUUGAUAACUCACUGUCAUAAAUAAACAUAGAAAUGACAACUGUAUGGUAACAAAAGCAGCAUACCUGAGACUUUUAAGACUUCCAGUAGAAAACCACUAGGGUGGUUGACAUCUUCCUCUUUGUAUACAUACGUCACGUUUGCCGUGAUUUCAGUGCCAUCAUCACUGUGGACGUAAAAAUGGGUUUUGUGUGAGAGUUAAACAUGUUCCUUUCAUCCUGUUUAGCUGCACAAGCAGCAGCUAAAUGAAAUCUUCAGAAAUUCUAAAGAGUGCAGUUGAGAAAGACGGGUUGGUUCAAGGUUAUGACGUUGUACUUACAUGAAGUUGGCGUUGGGAAAUUGAAACCGUUUGCCGUCUGGUUCACUGAGAACCUUAUGGAGCUAAAAGGGGACAAAACAUCAAGUUGUCAAUUACUAUCAUGACCUGAACAUGACCAUGGAUGUAUCUUAUGUGUAGAAGUACAGUAUCUUACUAGUCUGUUAAUUGAAUCCUGUAUCUGGGUUUCGGUCUCAUUGGUGAGUGUGAGUCUAUUACUUAGAGACUCCUGCGUUACAUUGGUUAUUUUGAAACCAAGGUCGAUGGCAAAUGAAGUAUCUGUAAGUUCUGUGAGCACAUAAAAAAAUGGUCACUAUAGCAACAGAUCAAAUGAACUGCUACAAUUUAGGAGUUUCAACAACAUUCAAAAACAUUCAAAAAGUAUUUAGAUAGCAGGAGCAGUUGAAUGUUUACUUAUUAAGAGAUUAUUUUAUAGAGUGGAAAAAAAUGUCUUCAUGAAGCCUAAUUUGUUGAACUCACUGAUAUAAGUUGCAUUCUGGAAGGUGGUUUGAGUGGUCGUGAAUUGAGGAGACAAUUGCUUCUUGACGGCACCAAGGACAUCAUCCUCAGUGGGGACUGGUGUUUUGACCUUGAAUAUCAGUUUAACAAAAACUCCCACUGUGUCGAAUCUAAGAGAAAAUAAUAAUACAUGGAAAAUUACAUUUCCUAAAGAAAAUGUGUGUAUUUGCUAGCUUGUCUUAAAGUAAUCAUGGUUGUAAAAUAAGUUACAGGAUUGGUAAUCACUGCAGUAGUAAUGGUAGUAACUGGUUAUAAUUGGAAAAAGAAAGUCGAUGGAAAGAUUGAUUGAUGGAUAGGAUAGGAUAGGAAAGGAUAGCCUGAACAUAUGAAAGUUGGUUCGGUCUCUCUAGCUGGAACGGUUCAAGAGUUAAUAUUAUUUUUGGUGGGUUAUUAUAUGCUAAUUUAUACUCAUUUAAAUUUUUUUGGUUUAGAACGUUUAGAAAAUGUUAAAAUAAUUAGAAAAAGUAUGUAAGAAAUCUAGUGGUCUUGCCUUCAGCAAGCACAUUAAUUAUAAUGGAUUGGAUUUAUAUUAAGCCUUUUGACCGAUUGAUGCACUCAAAGAGCUUUUCUAAAGAAAGGUUGACAUUUUGGAUGCUUUUAUUAAAACAUCAGUAGUUAACGACACAAGCAUGGAUAUACAUGGUUCAUUGUUGCAAAGGUUCCUUGUUUGACAAAGUGUUCAUUGAAUUGUAUGAAAACAUUAUAAUAAAUGAUCUUGCUUACCUAGUUGUUGAUGUCACUGAAGUCAAAAGGGUAGGAAGUGGUGUGGUGUUGGUAGUUGUUGUUGUUGUUGGGGCAACAGUGGGGGUCAGGAGACCUAGAAUAGAAAUGGAAAUACAUUUUAGAGGGAUUAUAAACUUGUAAUAUGUCAUAUAACAUUGAUAUAUAAGUGUUUUCGAGAUUGAGUAUUAUACACGUUACAUGGUGUUUGAUAACUCACUGUCAUAAAUAAACAUAGAAAUGACAACUGUAUGGUAACAAAAGCAGCAUACCUGAGACUUUUAAGACUUCCUGUAGAAAACCACUAGGGUGGUUGACAUCUUCCGCUUUGUAUACAUACGUCAC